AAAUCUAGAGCGGUUUUAUUGAUGGAAAAAUGUCAUCUGGAGUAUCAGAGAGUCAUUUGUAACAAUACACUCCGUGAAUGUUCCUAAGAUCUACCGUCUGAUAAACUGUUUGUUGUUCAUGAUCGAUGGUAAAUAAAGGAUACACUCUCCCAGUUACUGAACCAUUAGAUGCUGCUGGACCGAAGUUUGAUGACGUUACCAAAGACCGCUAAGCUAUGCGUGCAACUCAUCACUAGUCUGUGAAGUGGAGACAGAGCUUUUCCCCAGACAUUGCUGGAAACUCUACAGGAGACGUGCUUGGGAAACUUGGCUUCUUGGCUUUAGUUUUCCAAAUAGUUUUGUCUUCUGCGAGAAACCUCUUGGGAAUCUUCCUACUUCUUGAAGACAUUACUGAACCGAGGAAUGGAUCUGCUCUGCAACAAAGAAUAAAGUUUUUGUAUGACCUGUAGAGAUGAAAACAGCCGAGUAUAAAUACAGAUAAAGAGAUACUGAUAACCAAUCAAGAGAGUGAUGAAAGUCUCUAAACAAACCAGAAGAAAAGGUCUAUUUGAAAAAGUAAACUGGAUAUUUAUUUUUCUUCUCUAAUUCAUGAACGUUUAAUGUUGACUGUGUGUCCCUUUAAUGUGCAAAAUAAAGGAAAUUCUGUAUAUAAUUUAUAAUUAAAACAGUCAUUUUUAUUAUUA